UACGGGGGGUGCGAGCGUUGUCCGGAAUUACUGGGCUUAUAGGGCUCGUAGGCGGCCAACUAAGUCAGACGUGAAAUCCCUCGGCUUAACCGGGGAACUGCGUCUGAUACUGGAUGGCUAGAGUGUGGGAGAGGGAUGCGGAAUUCCAGGUGUAGCGGUGAAAUGCGUAGAUAUCAGGAGGAAUACCUAUGGCGAAAGCAGGUAUCUGGGCCACAACUGACGCUGAGCUGCGAAAGCUAGGGGAGCAAACAGG
rnacentral:rRNA from 1 species